GUCACGCUGCCGUUCGCCUGAAGUCACCUGACAUUCUAGCAACAUCCUGGUAGAGGUCGCUCGCGCUGCAGCGUCUCCCCCGCCGAUUCUGCUCGGGCGCGGCUGUCUGUCGCCGGGUAAAUUCCCACUAUCAGUGCAAAGAGCAGUGCGACAUCCACCAAUUCGAGAAAAUCGGCAAUAUCAUCAAACAAUUCUAUCUGAGCUGCAGUUCACAACGUUCGCGCUGGAGGAGCUGCAAGAAGAUCAAACCUAUCAAUUCAGCCCUGAGUGCUC